GAGAUGAGAUGCUGGUGAGAGAGAACGAGGCAGGAAAAGGAGAGAAGGAAUACUAAAUAUAUUUUUCCAUUUAUGUGAUGAAUGUGUUCACAGUACACAAACCAUAGUGUGUGUGGUAGUAAAGAGGAGCAGCACUAGAGGCAUUUUCCAUAGACUGAAGGCAAGAAGGUGGAGGAGGGGUGCUUUUAAGUAAAGACAGCUAAGGUGAAUCCUGAACCGCCAGAAGUAGACAACCAAGUGAAAGAAGGGGAAAGCGUUCCAGACAGAGGUGGGGGAGAAUCUGCAAAGGCACUGAGACCCAAGAAGUCACUGGUUCCUCGGGAGUACAUGUGUUCAAUAAGACUGAAAUCUAUGGUAUAUGGUGAAGGAACUGGGAAAAAACGUGGCCCUGGAGAUAUAAAGAGGAUGGGCCCUAAAUCCAAUGACCAGUGCCCCUACGAGGAGAGGGAGAUUUGAAGACACAAAAGAAACAGGGAAGA
rnacentral:lncRNA from 1 species